rnacentral:rRNA from 1 species
GGGUCAGUAGGUUGGUCGUGUCACCGGUACGUACUGGUCUCACUGAUUCCUCCUUCCUGAAGAACCGUAAUGCCAUUAAUUUGGUGUUGCGGGGAAACAGGACUGUUACUUUGAAAAAAUUAGAGUGUUUAAAGCAAGCUAACGCUUGAAUACAUUAGCAUGGAAUAAUGAAAUAGGACGAUCGAUCCUAUUUUGUUGGUUUCCAGGAUUGACGUA